AGAUGCUUUUAGCCUGAAAAGGAGAAUAGAAAUGCAUUUUCUCUAAACAUACAAGAGCACUCAUUUCCAGAGAGAUCCUGGACUGGAGGGACAGGAGCGUGACCCAGGCUGUUCAUCAUGAAUGGUGGGGCCCGCUGGGAGCAUGCUCCUCUCCUAAAAUGGACUCACAACUCUUCCUCUCUGUCAGGCUGGCUGGGGCUUCCAGGGAGCUCAAGAUCAAAUCCGGGGGCAAAGAGACAGAAGAACUAAAACUCAGAGUGACCACCAAUGCAGCUAUGAAACAGGUGGCAACAGCCAAGUGGAAGAAGCCAAGUGAAGGGCUAUGGGGACCUAGAAGAUGGAGUCGUCACACAAUGGAAGAAUUGCAGAUCUCUGAGUCACCAUUUGGACAAGAACCUACUAGAACAGGUGCCUGAACAAGAACACUGGACUUUGUGUGAGUGAGAAACAAACUUUUAUUGUGCUAAGCCACCGAGAUUUUGGGUUGGUUUUUAUAGUAGCUGGUGUUGCUUACACUGACUAAUACAUCUUGAAAGUAAAUGAUGCAAAACAAUUCUACUUAUUCACAGGGGGUGGUAUUUAUAAGGGAAAAGAAUAACAGGGUGGUGUCAGUGAUGGGUCCUGAUAAGUAAGCAACAAAAAGGAAGGGGCCCCAGGUAGGGAAGAACAAUUGUUCUGAGAGACUGUUAAUCACAAACAACCUGCUAGCCCCACAUCCUGUUCUCAAAUACUUUGCUCAGCAUGUAGCCCCAGCAGCAUGACUUUGUCUGCAUGUAGACCCUCCAGCAUGACCCUAUAAAAUUUCCCUCCAGCCACUGCCUCUUGGCAGACAGUCCCUUCUCCGCUGUGCUGCCCACUGCUUUCUUACAACGUUAUCUUUGUACUUUCUUUAAUAAAUCUGCCUUUCUUUACCCACAA
rnacentral:lncRNA from 1 species